CCACCCCUCCAGUCUCUCACCUGCGGCCCCGAUCGGGGGAACGAGGGAGAAAAGCCCCGGGACCUUCCCGCAGGGGCCGACGGGAAGCAGCCAGAGGAACCUCACAUGCUUCCCAACGCAAGUCUGUAUGGGUGAAGGUCAGAGCAAACACUGAGGCUGCCACACCUACCAGCCCAGCCCUGACUUGGACCAACACCCUCCCAGAAACAAGAGGACCCAGCCCCUCCACCCUGCCCACAUCUCAGCCCAUUCUCUGCCUCCCACAAACACCAGGGGCUCCGAAUCCCACAAUAAAAUACCUUGGGGUAAACCA